CAUUGAGCCAUUCAAUGCAAAGUUUGGAUGCAGUUCAUUAGCCAUCAUUUCUUGAUACCAAGAAUGACACCCAGUGAGGGCAUCUGAUUCCACCCCUUCCGGGCCACAACUAUAAGUUCUGAGGCCACCAGAAGGAGGCAUCAUUCUAUGAUCAGAGCAGCUCACAACAUAGAGCUACAGUAUAUCCCCUUGACCUAUCUCAAUGAAAACCUUUGCUUAAGCCCUAAGAGCCAAGAAGACCUCAACCAAUUGGUCAAUUCAUGAUGUCAUCCAUGAUCUUCCUCUUCUUCUGACCCUUCCUGCACUUAACAGCACCUUGGUGUUAGUAGUAACCAAGAAACAAGAUAUGCAUAUAGCAGUCAACUGCCUUCUAUUUUCUUUAAAAAUUAUAAUAACUAUCAUUAAAUAAGGUUUCCUAUUGUU